rnacentral:rRNA from 1 species
GCGUAAGCUGGUAAGACACCUGGAAGAUUACCAGGUUGAUAGGCAGGGUGUGGAAGCGUAGCAAUAUGUUAAGCUGACCUGUACUAAUAUGUCGAGGGCUUGACUUAAAU